GAUGAACGCUGGUGGCGUGCUUAACACAUGCAAGUCGAACGAAGCAUUUAGGACAGAUUACUUCGGUUUGAAGUUCUUUAUGACUGAGUGGCGGACGGGUGAGUAACGCGUGGGUAACCUGCCUUGUACUGGGGGAUAGCAGCUGGAAACGGCUGGUAAUACCGCAUAAGCGCACAAUGUUGCAUGACAUGGUGUGAAAAACUCCGGUGGUAUAAGAUGGACCCGCGUCUGAUUAGCUAGUUGGUGAGAUAACAGCCCACCAAGGCGACGAUCAGUAGCCGACCUGAGAGGGUGACCGGCCACAUUGGGACUGAGACACGGCCCAGACUCCUACGGGAGUCAGCAGUGGGGAAUAUUGCACAAUGGAGGAAACUCUGAUGCAGCGACGCCGCGUGAGUGAAGAAGUAAUUCGUUAUGUAAAGCUCUAUCAGCAGGGAAGAUAGUGACGGUACCUGACUAAGAAGCUCCGGCUAAAUACGUG
rnacentral:rRNA from 1 species